CCGUCAAAGGCCAGUAGAGUCCUUUGAACUUCUCAUUAAGUUUAGAGGCAUAGGCAAAAAAAAGAAACAACGCCAGCAGAAAUUCUAGGAGUGGUGCCAUCAUGAAAGAGGCAGCUAAAGAUGCAAUAUAGCAGAUAAAGAUGAUAAAUGACAGCACCUACAGUAAAAGGAAAACACUAGUUAUUUGCAUGGAAAAGCCUCAGGCAGCUGAGCAGCUUUGAAGUGUUACUCUGCUGGUGAUGGCAUAUCUUGCUUCCCACUUUUCUUGCACCAAAUGAAUAUUCUUGUUUGUUGAGGAAUAAAUCUAAUGUCACUUAUUUCAGUGUAUGUAAAAUUAACUUUCCAGACAGCUUGAUGCAUUUGCACCUAUCUGAGUCAAUAAUUUGCUCUGGAUUGUAAGCAACUCUGGUAACAUAAUUCUGAAAAUAGAGUGGAACAUUGCCAAGCAAACAGAGCUUUAAGCUUUCAACUAUGACAGUUCUCAUUUGAAACACAAAUCUUAGUUCAGAUAGCCCAAAGUAGCUUAGCAUUUAUAAUCUUCUUAGAGUUGAAAGAAAGUAAGUCUUCUGUUGAUGGAUAGAAAAGACCUGAGAAUUAGUUACGUGAUUUCUGUACAUCUCUGGUUCUAGUUUCCCAGUGUAAACAACUGUCUAGCUAGCAUAUUAAAUAAAAACACUUUCUCUAAGUGCAUUUAUUAUGUACUAAUUUACACCUGAGCUGCUGUACUCCACCUUUCCUCUGGGCAGCAAAUUUCUGCCCUGGGUGCUCAGAUAUGUUUUUGGUCACCAUAGCAGUAGACACCGUUUGAGUAUUAGAUUAGCAGGACUUUCUCAACUUUAAUUCUAAAUUGGGAAUUUAGAAUUCUCACUCAUCUAAUCCUAAAAAUAGACAUAUUUCUCUCCUACAUGGUACCUCUGAGGGCUUUGGGACCUUGGGACUUUUGGGUUCUCAAAAAGCACAAAUGUUUGGACAGAGAUGAUCAGUGCAUUUCCCUCAUUAAAUUUCAUAACUAUGGCUUUAUUUGAUUGUUGCUAGUGUGUGUUCCUGUGAACCACCUGUACUUCAAUAAAUACCUUCAUUACAUUUGAAAGGAAAGUGUGUGAUGGCUGUGAUCCAGAGACAGAGAAAUACUCAGGGAUGAACAGCAGCAGGGGUUUUUCUUUUGCUCCUGGAAUUACAUCCUUGUGAUUGAUAGCAGUUCAGGAGUCUGAGUUGUUCCUGCCCUCCUGCUGAAAGGUUAGUGUGAUCCUUGCCACUUUUGCUGUGGAGGAAUAUUUGGAGGCAAAAAGCUCUUGUUCAGCAAAGGACAGAACAAGAUCCUUUCAUGCUCUGGCAAUGGUAUGAAUAUAAAAAGUCUUGUCAAAAGAAGAGGCUCAGUUUUUCACUAAGCACCUUUUUUUUGUGGAAAUGUACACAGUCAAUUAAAAAUAUAAUUAAAUAUUACUUUUUAAAAAGGAACUCUGGGUAUUGUAUUUGACACAGUAAACUUCUCCCAUGCAACAUUUACUUAAUAGUGUAUUUCUGGGCUUCUUAAACCAGCCAGACACUAUGAAGGCUAUACUUUAUUGCAUAACCAGCUUUCAAUGUAAGGUAUAAAAUAAAAUUACUUAGUGCGAUUAAAGCAACGUGCUCCUUAAGGGAAGACUGCUGAAGUGCUGAGGUCAGAGGCAGGAUGUGAAGGCGUUUGUCUCCCCUGUGCAUGGAGAACAGACCCACUCCAGCCCAUGGGGGAUGACACGGAUGCCAGGAAACAGCUUACAUCAUUGUACACAACUACACACGCCCUGCUGUACUUCACUUGCUGCUCUGCGUGGCCAAAUGUGUGCUGCUCAUUUCCCCCUCCACAGAAAAGAACAGGUUUGCUUAAACAGUUUAAAAAGUGACUAGUAGUGAUGUCUUUUGGACAACUGUGUAUUUUGUUAUUGUUCACUAGCAGAGACAGAGAUAUCUUAGGGGUCUCUACUGUUGGGUUACUUCAUGUUCCUUGUGGAGUCACCUUGGUUCUUGGUCCACCCAGAGUUAGCGGCAGGGGUUGCCUGGCUACACACCCAGAGAAAGUCACAGGGCUUGUCUUCAAGGGAGGCUUUACACAGAGCAGCUGGAAAUUUCAGUUAUGAAGUACAGUUCAGAG